AUUUUAGUUCCUUUUUCUUUUUACCCAAACCCAUCCUCAAUUUUCUCCUCCAAACUUGAAAAAAAAGUAUAAAGCUGAAUACGAAUUUUAGGAUUAUACAAAGCACUUUCUUAUGAGAAUUAUAUAGCUAAAAAAACUAGUUUUCCAAACAUGAUACAGUAGUCUUUGUUUAUUCGGUUACCACACAGUCAAAAGAUAACAUGACUUUUAGAUGAACAUGAACUCAGAUUCAAGUGGACACAACAAGAUAUUUGGUAUGAGGAAUUAAGAGAGUUGAAACAACAUAUCCUUCUGGUGGUUUCUGAAAAGGGAAGUAAAUUAUCAAGAGAGAACAUACGUGACGUGAUAGAUGAUGGUUUGAAGGAGAUUGAUGGACCCAUUUCAUUUGGCUUCAAAGAAAGAAAUUUUACAUAAGAAACACAAAACUUAUGAAGCUGCUUCUGCCUUCUACCGAAGAAGACCUAUCAAAGAGGAAUUAAAGACGAGUUUCAUUGUUUGUUGUCUCUAAAUUAAAGCUAGGACCACCUUACACCGACCUACAUUCGGAGUAGGUUUGUCAUUGGGACGGAGUGGGACUAUGUUUGUUGUCCUCAUCUCUGAAGUGCAUUCGGAAUGAACUUUGUUCCUCGUCCCGUCUCUACUGGAAAAAUUUUCAUUUCUUCAAACUUCUAAACUGCAAAA